rnacentral:lncRNA from 1 species
AAAAGCUUUAAAAUAAGCAAAUAAAAAAAUGGGGUCACCGACCUCGUUUUCGAUUUAAAACGCCAUCUUUUUCACGGAAUUUGGAAAUUGGGACUUCUAGUCAAUAGCAGUGUAAUAUUUUUUUAAAAGUCCGUAUCCAAUAAAAACUUGUCUGUUUUGUUAACCUAGUUGUUAAUACAAACUAUUUUAAUAAUAUCACCCUUUACUGAAUGGAAAAUAAUAAUGAUAAGUCGCUAUAAUAGUUUUCCCGCUUUUUUUUAUUGUGAAAUACCUAUAAAAAAAUAAGUUUAAAAAAAAUUGACCAAUAAUUUCUCCAUGAGUCUUCAAUAGAAUAUGCGUUGUUUAUAUCUAAACAAAAUAAGGAAAUAAAAAGAUGGGGUCACCGUAAUGGAAAAAGAGAUAUUUCAAAAAAGGGGUUAACAAUUUGAAUUGGCGGGAACACAUUGCGCCAAUUCUAAAAACAACGUCGAAAGACGUUCGGCCGUUUUAGGCUAUAUUCUCACAAAUUAGAGACAACCCAGUUCUCGUUAUUUGCUGUUUUGUUGUUUGUUUGUUUUAAACUACGAUAAAUUCACAGUAAUCUACACAUGAUAGUACUUAGUUUUCAGUCAGUAUCACAGACACGUAAUAUAAAUGCGGUGGUUGGAAAACAAUGCGUUGUACAAAAGUACACACGAAUGCUUCUGUGAACAUUUCAUUUCAGGUUAUUCAUAGUGCUUACGUGUUGAACAGAAAUUCUUUUUAAAAUAGUGAAGACAUUUUAUAUAAUAUCAUUGUUCAAUCAAAGUACAUCUGAAAGACAAGACAGAAUUUUGCUUCCGGUAUCAUGAAUUUUAAUUUCGUUUAAGAAUGUUGUUCCUUUUUAUUUUGAUGAUAAUUACUUAAAAUCAUUAGAAAUCUAAGACUCCGUUUCCAAUAACAAUAAAGAUCGAUCAUUUCUGAGAUCGCCGAUCUUUAGUAUUGCAAAAAUGAGAAAGAUCGAUCUUCAAUCGGACGUAAACAUUCCAUCCCCAGACGUAGUUUUAAAAGAACGAUUUUUUUAUGAACCGAUUUUUCUUCAAGUGAAAACGCUUUAGAUACAUCGCGAUCGACUUUUCAAUCAAUCAAUCGAUAUAAAAUUCCAAGUGUUUUAUGUAGAUAUGAAAAUAAAUCUGCGCAUGGUCAGUUUAAAAAUGUUUUCAGUGUUUAUUCUCAAAUGAUUUGACAAAACGUGCCAUGGAGAUAAUAAAAACCAAAUUAAUAUAUUCGACGUUUUUUGCGUCAUUCUUCUGAAAAUAUAUUAAUAAAAAAAGAAAAUGUGGUAUGAUUGCAAAUAACACAAUGCUCCACAAAUGACCAAUUGACACUGGAAAUUAUUAACUAUGGGUCACCGUACUGCCUACAACAAUGAGCAAAUCCCAUACCGCAUACACAACUAUAAAAGGUCCCGAAAGGACAAAUGUAACACAAUUCAAACUAGAAAAUAAUAAAAAAAAAAUAAUUAAUGAAAAACAAAUGUGUGACUCUUUUGCAAACAACAACCACUUUAAAUUACAUACUCCUGAGUUGAGACAGGACCCGUUACAGCGCUCGACUGAUACCGUUACUUAUUCGUUCCUUAUACGUUGAAACACAUUGCACCUAUUACGAAACAAAUCUUUUCAAUUGUUUUCUUGUCUCUGGUGUUAGCUAUAGGUUCUUAAAAGUGAAAUAUAUACCUAUUAGCGCGUAUGUUCCAGUUUUAGCGUUAGACCGAUGACCUGCUACUUAUUCGCUUACAAUAUGCUUGUUAUAGGUCGCACCUUUUUUGUUCUUGUCUCUGAUGCUAUAUAUUGGUUCUAAGAGAUAAAAAUAACCCUAUUCUAAGGCGUAAAUACUCGUUUCAGUGCUCGACUGAUGCCCUGUUACUUAUUCGUUCCAUAUUCUCUUACUAUACGUGUGAUAUUCGGUGCACCUUUUUAAAAC